AUGUUGCUGCUAGGAAACUAUACAGUACUACCCAUCUUGGUAACGAACUACGACAAAACCUUAUGCAAAAGUUAUCUUAAUUUAUUGGUAAGUAAAGUGCUCCCAGGUUUGGUUUGGAGCCUGAUGGCAUCCCAACUAAGAGCAUUGUUAUCAGAAAAGUUCUGGGACAUACCACAAGAUGAACCCGGCGUAUAUGUCAGUCUACACAAAUUCUAUGUGGGUUGGUAUGUGAAUCAUGGUAUCGAGGUUCUGUCCAUGGGAAGAUUUGUUAAAAUUAACAUCACACCUCAUGAAUACAUGGGUUUCAGAUGA
rnacentral:rRNA from 1 species